GUCGUCAGCUCGUGUCGUGAGAUGUUGGGUUAAGUCCCGCAACGAGCGCAACCCUUAAUCUUAGUUGCCAUCAUUAAGUUGGGCACUCUAAGGUGACUGCCGGUGACAAACCGGAGGAAGGUGGGGAUGACGUCAAAUCAUCAUGCCCCUUAUGACCUGGGCUACACACGUGCUACAAUGGACGGUACAAAGAGCUGCAAGACCGCGAGGUGGAGCUAAUCUCAUAAAACCGUUCUCAGUUCGGAUUGUAGGCUGCAACUCGCCUACAUGAAGCUGGAAUCGCUAGUAAUCGCGGAUCAGCAUGCCGCGGUGAAUACGUUCCCGGGA
rnacentral:rRNA from 2 species